rnacentral:rRNA from 1 species
UUGGAGGGCAAGUCUGGUGCCAGCAGCCGCGGUAAUUCCAGCUCCAAUAGCGUAUAUUAAAGUUGUUGCAGUUAAAAAGCUCGUAGUUGAACUUCGGGGUUUACCCAUUGGUCAGGCUUAAUUGUCUGUACUGGUGAGAUAAAUCUCUACCUUCUGAGGAACUUUCAUGUCAUUAAUUUGGUGUGAUUGGAAAUCAGGACUGUUACUUUGAAAAAAUUAGAAUGUUUAAAGCAGGCUAACGUCUGAAUACAUUAGCAUGGAGUAAUGAAAUAGGACGGAUUGAUUCUAUUUCGUUGGUUUCUAGGAUCACCGUAAUGAUUAAUAGGGAUAGUUGGGGGCAUUAGUAUUCAGUUGUCAGAGGUGAAAUUCUUGGAUUUAUUGAAGACUAACUACUGCGAAAGCAUUUGCCAAGGAUGUUUUCAUUAAUCAAGAACGAAAGUUAGGGGAUCGAAGACGAUCAGAUACCGUCGUAGUCUUAACCAUAAACUAUGCCGACUAGGGAUCGGACGAAGUUAAUUUUAUAAUGACGCGUUCGGCGCCUUACGGGAAAC